rnacentral:lncRNA from 1 species
AUGGGGGUGCGCUUGCCGUGUUCUGAGAACAUUGGGUGGGCGCGGCCGCUUGAUGCCAGCAGAAGGUUUGGGGAGCAAGAGAGUCAUCUGGGGAGGAGCCUUCCGCUUGGCCACCAGGGGAGGGACUCAGUCUCCUCUGUGCAGACAGUUCCUCUAAGCAGCUACAGCGCAUGGGCAGCGUUUUUUGUUUUGUUUUGUUUUCAUCUCUGGUACCCAGUACCAGGCACACGUCGGGCUCCUGGGGAGCCAGGGAGGCAGAGCUGUGGGGGCAGCUCGGGGAGACCGGUCCCCAGCGGGGCCGGGGAGGAGCCCUCGGGAGGCAGACUGGAGACUCAGAAUGGGAAUGGCCUGGUAUUAUUAUGCCAACAUCAGUAUCGGAGGUCCCACAAAUUCCUCACGAAUCCUACAAUGUCAGAGCCACACGGAGCCUUAGAGACCAGCCAGGUGAGCACCACGUAA